UACGUACCGUCCAAACGUUAUUCGGAUUCACUGGGCUUAAAGGGUGCGUAGGCGGCUCAGAAAGUAGGGUGUGAAAGCCCUCGGCUUAACCGAGGAAUUGCGCUCUAAACUACUGGGCUUGAGGAACGCAGAGGUAAGCGGAACUUACGGUGGAGCGGUGAAAUGCGUUGAUAUCGUAAGGAACACCAGGAGCGAAAGCGGCUUACUGGGCGUUUUCUGACGCUGAUGCACGAAAGCUAGGGGAGCGAACGGG
rnacentral:rRNA from 1 species